GGCACGGUGGCUUAGUGUAGAGCACAUUUGAAUCGCACCUCUGGGGUUGGGGGAUCGAAUCCCGCCUCUGCCC